rnacentral:rRNA from 1 species
GAACGCGAAGAACCUUACCCGGGCUUGAACCAAGAGUGACGAGUGCAGAGAUGCACUUUUUCUUCGGACACUUUUGGAGGUGCUGCAUGGUUGUCGUCAGCUCGUGCCGUGAGGUGUCGGCUUAAGUGCCAUAACGAGCGCAACCCUUUUCUACGUUUGCCAUCGGGUAAUGCCGGGAACUCCGUGGAUACUGCCGCCGCAAGGCGGAGGAAGGUGGGGAUGACGUCAAAUCAGCACGGCCCUUACGUCCGGGGCUACACACGUGUUACAAUGGUCGGAGCAGCAGGAAGCUACCUGGCGACAGGAUGCUGAUCCCGAAACCCGGCCUCAGUUCGGACUGGAGUCUGCAACCCGACUCCACGAAGCCGGAUUCGCUAGUAAUCGCGCAUCAGCCAUGGCGUGGUGAAUACGUUCCCGGGUCUUGUACACACC